CAUCAACAAGGAAAGAGAUUACCUUUAACCCGCUGAUUCAAUGACUUGUUCCGGCCAUCGAGGUGAUCCUUUUCUUCGUUCAGUUGCUGGAUUUUAUUUUGAAGACCAGCAAUGACUCCGUCAUGUUUCAUCAUUAACCAGGAGAUGAAAAGCUUCUCCUUGUCUAAUUCCUUCUCAAGAGCUUCAGCACGGAGUACCGUGUCCCCGUAGCCUUCCAAUAUUGCAGUAUUGCAGUAAGAGCGCUUGAUA
rnacentral:lncRNA from 1 species